rnacentral:lncRNA from 1 species
CUCCCUUUGUCGGUGUGAAAAGAUAACCAUCAAUCAGUUGUCAAUUGGUCAAUUGCAGAGGUGAUGAAAAGGAAGGGGUUGAACAAUCCCCUCUCUCUGGCUACCUAGAGGAUUCAGGAGCCCUGGGAAAACGUGGCAGCUGGAGCAGAGCAGGGAGUGGAUCAGUCACACAGGGGUAACGAGCGAAACACCAGCGUUCAGCGAGCAGCUUGAGCGGCGGUACGCUGAAGUAAGAGCACUGGCUUUUGGAAAAACCUGCAGACUACGGGGCGAGUAAAGAGAGAGAGACAGCCUACCGCUGUUUCGGUCGAGCAGAGAGCGGGAUCUCCGGCGGCUGAAGAGUGGUUCUUGAAUCGGCCAGAUACUGUUCCAUCCUCUUUUCUGCCAAUCAAGCAAAGAUGAGGACAACACCCAAACUGGCACGAUAACAGCGCCGUAUUCGAAGAGGACCCAAUUGUUCCAAAAGGCCUUGAUUUUGCUCCGCCGCGGUCCGCGCGGAGGCUGCCGCAGCUGUGGACAGCAACAGGUGUGUUAUCGGUGUUUGCUAAUUCGGGAUCCUUGGGACGUCCCAACUCUGACCUUACCCGAUCGACGGUUAAGAGAAAAGGUGAGAGGACCCUGCUGA